UUGGUACUACAUGUACAGGAUAGGUGGGAGGCUUUGAAACCAGGACGCCAGUUUUGGCGGAGCCAUCCUUGGGAUACCACCCUUGUAGUACUGGGACUCUAACCAUAGGCCAUGAAUCUGGUCUUGGGACACUGUCAGGUGGGCAGUUUGACUGGGGCGGUCGCCUCCCAAAAGGUAACGGAGGCGCUCAAAGGUUCUCUCAGUACGGUCGGAAAUCGUACGUAGAGUGU
rnacentral:rRNA from 1 species